rfam:Myotis brandtii contig261721, whole genome shotgun sequence.
CAUGCACUCAGGGGGAUCCCUCAGCCUGGAUUGCGAGAGGGCACAGGCCAGGCUGAGGGACCCCACUGGUGCACA